rnacentral:tRNA from 1 species
AAGGUUUUAAGUUAACCUAAACUAGUAGCCUUCAAAGCUAAAAAUAAAAACUGUUUUUAAACCUUA